GCAGAUUGGAAACAGGAAGCGUCGUCAACUGACAAACAGCAUAACGUCUCCCACUGUUUUCAUUGGUUUGAGAAAUGGUUUUGUGUCUUCGAAAAAGUCCGUUAUCAUCUCAACCGUUUUCAGAAGAGGUUAGCUAACGUUAAGUUAAGGGUGUGUUUUGAAUUAAGUUGGCCAAUGAUACAAACACCAUACUGUCCAACUCAAAGAUGAGAUCUGAUCGUUUGGCCCUGUGAUUCUUCAGGACAUUAUCUUGAUGCCAUUCACACUCAGUACAUGACAAAGGUGGUGACCAUAGACCUGCAUUAUAUGACUGACAGACA